rnacentral:rRNA from 5 species
AGACCCGAAACCCGGUGAUCUAGCCAUGGGCAGGUUGAAGGUUGGGUAACACUAACUGGAGGACCGAACCGACUAAUGUUGAAAAAUUAGCGGAUGACCUGUGGCUGGGGGUGAAAGGCCAAUCAAACCGGGAGAUAGCUGGUUCUCCCCGAAAGCUAUUUAGGUAGCGCCUCGUGAAUUCAUCUCCGGGGGUAGAGCACUGUUUCGGCUAGGGGGCCAUCCCGGCUUACCAACCCGAUGCAAACUGCGAAUACCGGAGAAUGUUAUCACGGGAGACACACGGCGGGUGCUAACGUCCGUCGUGAAGAGGGAAACAACCCAGACCGCCAGCUAAGGUCCCAAAGUCAUGGUUAAGUGGGAAACGAUGUGGGAAGGCCCAGACAGCCAGGAUGUUGGCUUAGAAGCAGCCAUCAUUUAAAGAAAGCGUAAUAGCUCACUGGUCGAGUCGGCCUGCGCGGAAGAUGUAACGGGGCUAAACCAUGCACCGAAGCUGCGGCAGCGAACGUAUCACUUAAAGCGAUUCAGCG